UUUUUUUUUUUUCUUUUUGCCUUUAAGAGCUCUGAGAGAACUCUCAAAGGGUAAUUUGUACUCCUACAAACCUGCUUUUUUUUAACACACAUAAAAGAUCAGCUGUGUUUUGAUGUUUUCUGAGCUCCAGGUAAGCCUAGAUGGCAGGAGCAUGGAUGGGUUUGGGUGCCCAGCUGGAGUUAAAGGGCACUUGUCGGAAUCUGUGGGUAUUGAUGAUUCCAAGAUUGUAGAAAGUCUCUGUCUUUCUGCCCCGCUGCCAAAGCAGAAGCCAUAAUUGGUCUGUGCUGGUUUCAAGGUUGUUUAUUCUGUUUAUCUCUAACAUGUUCUGCUGCCCUGCCGCAGCUCUGUCCUGCAGGGCAGCGUGUGGGGCUCUACCCUCAGUGGGAUGUUACAAACAUUAAAUACCAGAAACUACCUGUGCUGGAUUUACAAUAACGUGCCAAUAUCUGUCACCUAUGUUGGACAGUGUGUCCCCAGCCUGAACCAACAGAAAAAUGCCAACACCACAGUGAAACAUGGAGGGCAGGAAGAAGGAGAGAAAGGACAAGACACACCCAAUUUCCUUCAUCUUGUCCUCUUUGGACCCCUAAUCUAGAAUCCUAAAAUUUUACUUUUGCACCCGUGCCACACUUAAUUAUUGCUUAUAUCAAAGACUCAGAGCUUGUAAUUCAUCCUGUAAGAUUGAAAACUCUUUUCCAUGGACAGAGAUCACAGACAGUGUCUCUGGGGGCUCUGUCCAGGGGGGUUCCUGACCCCUGCCAGGGUCCCAGACCUGCCAGGGCAGCCAGAAGUAAGCCCUAGAUUCCCACAGACACUGGGGGCUGUCCUGUGCCACUGACAUAGAGCAAGGAUCGGUGUCACACCCCAGUGCCACCUCACCCUUGGAUGAGGAUGGCUGCAGCUCUGGGACUGCCUCACACACCUGGAUUCAUUCUGUCCCCCAACCUCCUGCCCGGGGGACACCAAAUAUCAGCACAGUGCAGGUUUAAUAUUCCCUAAUCUCCGUUUUCCAUCCUCAAUUAAUGAGACUCCUCACCUGACGCUGCUGAGCCAGGGAAUGGCGAAAUGUCUUGUACGAUUUUAGAAGGUAAAAUGAGGGUUUAUUUAAAAGUACUCUUCUCUUUUAUAGAGAACAUUGUGAACAUUGAUUCCAUUGGUCUUAAAAUAAAAACAUUUUACCUGAUUGGUGCACUGCACUUAGGUCAGUAUGGUAGAACAUAUCUAUAAACAAUAUGAACAGUAUUGACAUUCCUCUCAGACUUUUUCCCAGGCUUAGCCUGGCAGAAAUCUUUUCUCUCUGACUGAACUGAUAAUAUCCACACUCACCUGCCAAAAUAAAUUGGACCCACAAACCCAAAGGUGAACACGAGGUUAUUAUUCACACCCUGUGCUCUUAGAAAUGUCUCCUCUUCAGAUUAAUGAAGAAAACAGGGUUACAAAGAUGUAACUGAGGAAAUUCUUUUGUCUUCAGAUUUGCUGAAGUUGCUGAGAUGUGACAAAAGAAUCUGCCCAGCCAGGGGUUUUCUCCAAACCUGUUUUGAGCAGAGCCAUCAGCACUGAACUCAGCACCCAUCACAUGCAAUCCUCUUGGAGCUGGCUGAGGUUUUGCAGCCUUUAAAGAGUCUGAACAUUCCUUCCCUGGCAAUUAGAUAUUACAGAGAGGGAAACAGAGACAUGCAAGGAUGAAGAGCUACAAACACUGAAUUUCUGUAGCUCAGCUGCUUUUUGGGGACACCAAGAAAACACCUCUCUUCUUGUGCCAGUUUAAGUUGUAGCCUCUGAUUUUGCUUUACAAUCCAGGGAGGAAGUGGGAGACUUGAAACUUGAAUCUUACUUUUCACAUCUAACUAUAAAACUGAUCUGGCUCCUAAAAUAAUGUUGCAAAAAGGUUUGGAAGAGCCUUUGAACUUAAAAUGUAAUAUAUAAGCCAAGGAGAAAAAUUAUUACACUUAAAUUAAAUAUGGCAACAACAAAUAAACCAGACAAUUUGUUGCACAGUAUGGAUUCUGAAGGAAAACAUUGCAUCUAUUAUUUCUUAUCAUUGCUCCAGGAAAGAAAUUCACAGUGAAGGCAAAAAAAUGAAGUUAGCAAUGAUUUUUCACUCAUGAACCUUUCUCCAGGGAUGAGUUAUAAAGGAAAAAUAUGCUGCCUGGAAGAAGAGAGAAAGCAAGAAUUAUUUAUGUUUGUAUAUUUAGUAGCACACUUGCAUUCAUACUUACUGUGCUAUAGGAGAACCAUUCAACAACACAGUUACACUUUUUUUCUAAUUUUGUCCAAAUAUAUGAAAGAACUCUUUAUUCAAGGAGCUGUAAAGUAUUCCAUAAAGCUGAACAUGCUUUUAUCUGGAGAAAGCUGAACACGAAGGCUUUCUAAGUAUCAGCUGGGUCACAGGGGAGCAAUAACACACCCCAGAUUAUUUGUGUCCAAAUGUGCGGGGCACAGGCUGGGACCUCAGAGGAAAGUGAGCAGCCAGGAAAACAGGCUGCCAGAAUCAGAACAGAAGUUUUCUAAAGCAGAGGGGUGGGGGAGGGAGUGAAAUUAAGGAAAGGUGUUGGUUUUAAAAGUAGUUGAGGAAUAUCAAAGAUCUGAAAGAGUCUUUGCUUCCCUAGCCUGAACACAGUUAAAUGAGGAGUCUUGGAAUGCUUCUGAUUGUGCUUUCAAGGUUGUUUAUUUCUUCUUAUCUAUAAUAUUUUCUCUCUGACCUGCUGAGCUCUGGCUAGCAAGGAGGCAAUAACAUUCUGUGUGCCCUCUCGGGCAGUGUUUGCCUUUUAUAUCAAAAGUUACGUAUUCUAUGUUUACAAUUUAUUACCAAUAUCUAACAUUUAUGUUGGACAGUGUGUCCCUACCUUAAACCAAUAGAAAAGUGUCACCAUCACAGCAAGACAUGGAGGACAAGAAGAACAAGAAGAAGGUCAGGACAUGCCCAAAUCCCUCCAUCUUGUCCUCUUGAACCCCUUAUCUUAAAAACUCCAAAAUUCUAUUUAUUUCUACCCUGUGUUAAUUCAACUACCACGCUACUCAAACCCUUGUGGCUUAUAAUUCCUCAUACAAAGUUGGCAGUUUUUUCCAUGUGUUAAAAUCGAAGCCACAGGUGUUUUUGACUUCGUGCCAGGGUCUCUGAGACCCCUGCCAGGGUCUGGAGGCAGCCAGGGCAGCCAGAGGGAUGUGCUGGGCUCUGACACCAAAGUUCAAUGGUUAAACUAAACCUUGGAAUCUUUGGCAAGUUUGUCUACUACAAAUAAGGACAAUUGUAAACCUUUUGCAGAGGCAUUGAAAAGAAACAAAAAUGUGUUUUCUGCCUCUGAAGGGGGUUAACCAGUCCAGAAAUCUCCCAGUUUUGCCAGCAGCCUGAUGCUGCACUGGGGUGAUCCCUGUCAGUUUAUGCCCAGGCUGACACAGCCUGCAGCCAUAAUUAAUCAGGGUACAUCACUAAUUAGGUGAAAGAAAUGGGAGCACCCCCAGGAUUAAGGCUCUGCACGGAGCUUGUGGCGCUGCAGCUGGGGAAAUGAAGAUUCUGAGACAUCCCUUGGCAGUGUGGUGGGUCCCACCUGGACCUCUCUCAGGGGUUUCCUCGGGAAAUAUCCUGUGUUGAAUUAUUGAUCAUGUAAACAAACAGGGAUGGAGAGAACUGACACAUUUCCAAAGUGAAAACAAAGAGCAGAAAGGCAGGAAAUGGUGAAGUAUAGAAAAGCUGAGGAAUGGAAGCACAGACAUUACCCAUAUUGAAGGAUAUUCCUGUUAUUCCAUGGCAGAAUAACAGCAUUAUGCCUUCUCACUCAUGGUGGCGCUUUGGUAAAUCCCUUAAGUAGAUUAAAAAGAAUUACAGACACUACUGGACAAGUAAAUCCCCUGCAAACAGGUAAAACAGGCAUUUUAGUGUGCUCAGCUACCAACAAAACCAUGGUGCAGAAAUGAGUGAAGCAGACUUCCUUGGAUUCCUGGUGAGGAAAAUGGAGGUUAGGAACUUUAAGCCUUACUUGUUCCCUUCUGACCAUUUCCAUGCUCAGCUGCUCCCCACCCCUUUGGACAAGGCUCAAGACAAACUCCUUCUCUCUCCUAAAACUGGAACCUCCAGUCACUUACAGAGGGAUUGGAGAAACCAUCUUUGUGCUGCUUUAUUUCAUAUCUCCAUCUGUUGUGAUGUGGCUUUUACACUCAGGGAAUUAUAUCCUAUAUCCAGGUUAAGCUGGCAGGGUCCCACUGAACCUGAAAGGUGUUAAUUCCUCUAAAGGUUCUGCUGAUUUUCACUCUGCAGCUGGUAUUUUUAUAAGCUAAACUCACUGCACUCCUUAACUUCUUCUGCACUCCUCUAUUCACAAGGAAGGCUUCAAAACACAAUCCAGAUCACUCCUUUAAUGAGCUGCACAAACAUAGAAAACCUGAGCAUGUAUUCAUGUCCUCUCCAUCAUCUUGGCUGUAUGGAAGGGUUUACCAUAAAGCAUUAAAUGUCUUUUUUUUGUUAGCAUUCAAAAGAAUGCUUGGUUGGUGCCUCCAGAUAUUUUUCAUUUCCCACUUCAAGCAGGAUUCAGUAUUUAUCAGACCUCCUCAUGCUUCUCUAAUUGGAUUCUUUGCCCAUUGGAAAUGCACAGCAACAUUCUCCUCAGAACAAUGCCCAGACAGAACACACCUUGUUUAAAAAUACAUAAGUACGUUUCUUGUUUGAGCACAGAAAAAACAACAUCUCCAAUUCCUCAAAGAAAAACUUCAAGGACAUCAGAAGAUCCAGGGCAGGCUGGUACUGACCCAGCAGAAGUGAGACCUGUGAUAAUUUCACUUUAAUCUAGUUUUCUCCUACAAUCACCUACUGCUUAUUAUUCCUUGUCAAUAACUUGGUCUGUAUUUUGAAAUGUUUCUCUUUGCCAUACCCUGAAGUUUCUGUACUCUCCAAGAGGCAACAAAGGCAUCAAGAACAUCUGAAAACACACAAAGCACAGUCUUGUUCUUCAGGGGGUACCUACAUCCCACAAAACUAAAAUACAGCCAAUAAUUUUCCAGAAUAUGACACUGCAUUACUAUUGCACAGAAAGAUUUACCGAAUUUACAGAAGGAUUUACUGGCUGAAGUACUGUAUAAAACAAUGACUAAAGAGUAGCAAAGCAUUAUUUUAGAGAGCACAGCAAAAAUCUACAGAUCUGAGGGAAUUUUAAAGGCUACCAUAGACUGCAAACUCUG
ensembl:lncRNA